rnacentral:rRNA from 1 species
UACGUAGGGGGCAAGCGUUGUCCGGAAUCAUUGGGCGUAAAGCGCGUGUAGGCGGUCCGGUAAGUCCGCUGUGAAAGUCGGGGGCUCAACCCUCGGAUGCCGGUGGAUACUGUCGGGCUUGAGUACGGAAGAGGCGAGUGGAAUUCCUGGUGUAGCGGUGAAAUGCGCAGAUAUCAGGGGGAACACCAAUUGCGAAGGCAGCUCGCUGGGACGUUACUGACGCUGAGACGCGAAAGCGUGGGGAGCAAACAGG